rnacentral:rRNA from 1 species
CGUGCUUAACACAUGCAAGUCGAACGGGAUCCCAGGAGCUUGCUCCUGGGUGAGAGUGGCGAACGGGUGAGUAAUGCGUGACCGACCUGCCCCAUACACCGGAAUAGCUCCUGGAAACGGGUGGUAAUGCCGGAUGCUCCAGUUGACCGCAUGGUCCUCUGGGAAAGCUUUUGCGGUAUGGGAUGGGGUCGCGUCCUAUCAGCUUGAUGGCGGGGUAACGGCCCACCAUGGCUUCGACGGGUAGCCGGCCUGAGAGGGCGACCGGCCACAUUGGGACUGAGAUACGGCCCAGACUCCUACGGGAGGCAGCAGUGGGGAAUAUUGCACAAUGGGCGCAAGCCUGAUGCAGCGACGCCGCGUGCGGGAUGACGGCCUUCGGGUUGUAAACCGCUUUUGACUGGGAGCAAGCCCUUCGGGGUGAGUGUACCUUUCGAAUAAGCACCGGCUAACUACGUGCCAGCAGCCGCGGUAAUACGUAGGGUGCAAGCGUUAUCCGGAAUUAUUGGGCGUAAAGGGCUCGUAGGCGGUUCGUCGCGUCCGGUGUGAAAGUCCAUCGCUUAACGGUGGAUCCGCGCCGGGUACGGGCGGGCUUGAGUGCGGUAGGGGAGACUGGAAUUCCCGGUGUAACGGUGGAAUGUGUAGAUAUCGGGAAGAACACCAAUGGCGAAGGCAGGUCUCUGGGCCGUCACUGACGCUGAGGAGCGAAAGCGUGGGGAGCGAACAGGAUUAGAUACCCUGGUAGUCCACGCCGUAAACGGUGGAUGCUGGAUGUGGGGACCAUUCCACGGUCUCCGUGUCGGAGCCAACGCGUUAAGCAUCCCGCCUGGGGAGUACGGCCGCAAGGCUA